CACGUGCGUUUGUUUUGUUUCUGUUCCAGAGUAUUCUGUCACGUCGCGAGACUUAAGGGAGUAGAGCACGGAAGCAGCUCCACUUUUGUCAGCAUUCCCUGAUGGCUGCUGGCCUGUGUAUGAAGAAAAUGCAUGUUCUCCCUGUGCUGCGGGGACUUCCUCUGGGUGAUUCUCACCCUGCAGUUAAGAAGGUUG